GAGUUUAGAUGUGGGGGAACUCUUGGAUGCCCAAGGGUUGGAUGCCCUAACCCCUUAUCCUAUAAAGGAGGUUCACACCUCAUCUUAAGGUGGGAAUAAAGUGGAGAAGCAACACGCCCAAGGGUUGGAGUGUGGUAAGAAAAAAAAGGGCCGGAGAUCAUGCCAAAGGGCCUUCAACACCUCAUCUCUCUCUUUCUCUCUUACACACCCAAAAGUUGGGCACAUGCUCAAAGGAAAAGGAAAAAGGGAGCAUUUGAUUUCCUUGGGAAGGGAAGCAAUAG
rnacentral:lncRNA from 1 species